AUGGUGAUGAGGCGUUUCCUCUCCUCGGAGCGACCGCAUUCCAGUGAGGAACAGGCAGACACAGGGAGACAGAGGGAGGAGAGGGAGGGAGGGAGGGAGGGAGGGGGGGGGAGACAGAGAGAGGGCGGGGCCGCAGACAGUGCAACGUGUCGCUGCUGCUUCAGAGAAAGGAAGAACAUAUGCCAAAGAAACGCUGCCCCUCACUUACUCUCCCUCCGUCUCUCUCUCUGUCUCUCCCCCUCUCCCCCUGUCUCUCUCGCUGUCUCUCCCCCUGUCUCUCCCUCCGUCUCUCUCUCUGUCUCUCCCCCUCUCUCCCUCUGUCUCUCCCCCUGUCUCUCUCGCUGUCUCUCCCCCUGUCUCUCUCGCUGUCUCACCCCCUGUCUCUCUCUCAGUCUCUCCCCCUCUCUCCCUCUGUCUCUCCCUCUGUCUCUCUCUCUCCCUCUGUGUGUGUGUGUGUGUGUGUGUGUGUGUGUGUGUGUGUGUGUGUGUGUGUGUGUGUGUGUGUGUGUGUGUGUGUGUGUCUCUCUCUCUCUCUCUCUCUCUCUCUCCCUCUCCCUCUCUCCCUCUGUCUCUCCCCCUGUCUCUCUCUCUGUCUCUCCCCCUGUCUCUCUCUCUCUCUCUCUCUCUCUCUCUCUCUCUCUCUCUCUCUCUCUCUCUCUCUCUCUCUCUCUCUCUCUCUCUCUCUCUCUCUCCGCCUGUCUCUCUCUCCCCCUGUCUCUCCCUCCCUUUGUCUCUCCCCCUGUCGCUCUCUCUCUCUGUCUCUCCCCCUGUCUCUCCCUCUCUCUCUCUCUCUCUCUCUCUCUCUCUCUCUCUCUCUCUCUCUCUCUCUCUCUCUCUCUCUCUCUCUCUCCCCCUCUCUCAUUCUCUCUCUCUCCCCCUAUCUCUCUCUCUCUCCCCCUCUCUCAUUCUCUCUCUCUCUCUCUCUCUCUCUCUCUCUCUCUCUCUGUCCCUCUCUCUCUCUCUCUCUCUCUCUCUCUCUCUCUCUCUCUCUCUCUCUCUCUCUCUCUCUCUCUCUCUCUCUCUCUCUCUCUCUCUGUCCCCCUCUCUCUCUCUCUCUCUCUCUCUCUCUCUCUCUCUCUCUCUCUCUCUCUCUCUCUCUCUCUCUCUCUGUCCCCCUCUCUCUCUCUCUCUCUCUCUCUCUCUCUCUCUCUCUCUCUCUCUCUCUCUCUCUCUCUCUCUCUCUCUCUCUCUGUCCCUCUCUUCCUACUGGCGGGCCGUCUCUCUCUAUGA
rnacentral:lncRNA from 1 species